rnacentral:rRNA from 1 species
CCUACGGGAGACAGCAGUGAGGAAUAUUGGUCAAUGGGCGGAAGCCUGAACCAGCCAAGUCGCGUGAGGGAUUAAGGCCCUGCGGGUCGUAAACUUCUUUUGCCGGGGAGCAGAUGUCCGGACGUGUGCGGGCCGGGAGUGUCCCCGGCGAAAAAGCAGCGGCAAACUCCGUCCCAGGAGCCGCGGUAAUACGGAGGUUGCGAGCGUUAUCUGGAUUGAUUGGGUUUAAGGGGUGCGUAGGCGGGCUAUUAACCAGGCGGUAAAAUGUCGGGGCUAAACCCCGGCCUGCCGUUGAAACUGGGUGCCUUGAGUGGGCUAGAGGUAUGCGGAAUGCGUGGUGUAGCGGUGAAAUGCAUAGAUAUCACGAAGAACCCCGAUUGCGAAGGCAGCAUACCGGCGCCCUACUGACGCUGAGGCACGAAAGUGUGGGUAUCGAACAGGAUUAGAUACCCCAGUAGUC